AACGAACGCUGGCGGCAGGCUUAACACAUGCAAGUCGAACGCUCUGCUUGCAGAGCGUGGCGCACGGGUGAGGAACGCGUGGGAACGUACCCUGUAGUACGGAAUAACUCCGGGAAACUGGUGACAAUACCGUAUACGCCCUUCGGGGAAAGGUUUACCGCUAUAGGAUCGGCCCGCGCGAGAUUAGCUUGUUGGUGAGGUAAUGGCUCACCAAGGCGACGAUCUCUAGCUGGUCUGAGAGGAUGAUCAGCCACACUGGGACUGAGACACGGCCCAGACUCCUACGGGAGGCAGCAGUGAGGAAUAUUGGACAAUGGAGGAAACUCUGAUCCAGCCAUGCCGCGUGAAUGAUGAAGGCCUUAGGGUUGUAAAGUUCUUUCACGGGUGAAGAUAAUGACGGUAACCCGAGAAGAAGCCCCGG
rnacentral:rRNA from 1 species